AUGGUGCAUUAUCGUCUCACCAAGUCUAAGGAGGCUGAGGGCUCCUGGCAGAAGCAGCAGUGGAGAAAGACACAGAAGAUACUCCCACCUCACAGAGAAUCCUCUGAAGCAUGGCAGCAAGGGAUGCCUAAGGAAGGAGCUCUCCUCUGGCAAGAGAGAAGAGAAAAUUCCCCAAGACAAUGUCAUCUCUGUUCACUCUUCAGCAAGCAACAGGCCCAAGUCUCAUCCAUUCCAGGACUUAUUUUACGUGCCCUCAUUGCAAUUUGAUUAACAAUCAAUUACAAACUAAGUUUUUAUGUAGACUGAGGGCAUGGAAAUUUCAGGCCUCUACUUACAUGAAUUCUUUAUAGUCAAAUAUUUAUUUGCAGUAAGUAUUUGAGAGAAAGCCAAGGAAGCACACAUGUUCACAGAGCUUGCUGUCUACACUGCGUUUCAGCCUUAGUCAAGGAGAAACUAAGAUGCAAUUGCAUAGAGUUGUCCUAUCCACUUUCUUCCUUCUGAUUUCUAGAUUUAUAAAAUAGAAGGCCAGUUAACUGCACUUAAGGACCUAGGCUGCUCAUUUAUAAAAUACCAACUGUAAAAUUUCAUUCAGUCACCCUUUAUUGAACCCAACAACAUGCAACUGAGGUAUAACUUUUUUCUAGCGGAAGGUUACCUCCUCUAAAAAUAAGAAGUACUGUUUAAAAGAAAUCUCUCAUCUUCUUCAUUUAUUCCAUUGCAAUUUGCUUUCUGUAACAAAAGUAGACAACAGAGAGGCAAAUCAAAAUUAUUUGAAUAUACUUGUAAAUUUCAAAUAUAUUGCCCCUCAGCCUUCUUUUGCUAAGCUAUGUAGCCCAAAUUAUUUCAAGAUUUUCACUGUACCUACAGCCCAGCAGUGGCUUUUGUAGCUGUUGUCAUACCAUUUUCAUUCUGCAUUUUAGAGGCACACUAGACGUGAACAGUCUUGCAGUAUCAGUCCCAUUUCACUUUUUCCUCCUCAUCUUCACUGUUCCUCUAACAACAACGUCAGCCUUCCUUACCACAGCCCGAGGCAUGGAAAGAUACAGACCAACCCCUACGCUUUUGCAGACUCGCUGCUGCUUCAGGUUUCUCAUUAAAGGGACUGCCUACAGAGCCUGGGUCUGAACCAACAAGUUUAUAUUUGACUGCAUUAGCAAAAUGUGUGUUAACAGGCCUGCUGUACUAAAGCAUCCUGAUUUCUCCUUCCAUUUUCUAUGUUCUCAUCAUUGAUUAACACUCUGCCUAUCUUCCUAACAAAAUAUCACUGCUAUUUACAGUAUGAGAACAUUUGCAUCUAGAUCACUAAUGAAAAAACAGAAUAACAUAAGACUUGGUAAUAAUCUAGUACAUGGAAUAUGCUCAAAACAAUUCCAGUUGGUGAGGCUACCCUUUUGAUCCAGCUUUUAAUCCACGUGCUAUUUACUUUAAUGAUAUCAGUGUGCUAGUUUUAAAUCAGAAUAUUAUGUGGUACUCAUACUGAUAUUUUGCUGAUACUUUUUAAUGAAUCUGAUUUGAAUAAGAUUUUCUUAACAUUAUUUAUUUAUUUCAAAAUCAUGGUGACUGCCAUUAAAUAUAUUUGCUAUCAUCCUUUAAUGUUUUUUUUAUCAUUAAUACUCAUAUUUUCUCUUGCAUUCUUUGCAGAGGAUGAGAAAACAAUAGACGGAAUAAGCUACACUGGACUUUUACACUUAGCUUUUCAAAGUUUAAUACUUUUUCAGACUUCCAUUAUAUACUAGUUCCAUAAUUAUGAAGAGAUGCAUGAGUUCUUCUUAGGUGUAAAGAAUAUUUUACGCUAGUCAAGUAAAGGUCAGACAAGCCUGGAUUUUAAAUUCAUCUAGAAUGGCCUAUUUAGAACAAAGGAAAAAAAAAUCAAUUACUAACGUGCAUACUUUAUCCGCCAAUAAAUUGUAAGUCACUUUCCA
ensembl:lncRNA